rnacentral:rRNA from 1 species
GACGAACGCUGGCGGCGUGCUUAACACAUGCAAGUCGAACGAUGAAGAAAAGAAUCGAAGCUUCGGCAGAAAUUCAUUUCGGAUUAGUGGCAGACGGGUUAGUAACGCGUGAGCAACCUACCUCUUACAAAGGGAUAGCCUCGGGAAACCGGGAUUAAUACCAUAUAACAUUGUGACGAAGCAUUUCGAUGCAAUCAAAGCUACGGCGGUAAGAGAUGGGCUCGCGUCCCAUUAACCGGAUGGUGAGGUAACGGCUCACCAUAGUGACGAUGGGUAACCGGGAUGAGAGGGUGAACGGUCACACUGGAACUGAGAAGCGGUCGAGACUCCUACGGGAGGCAGCAGUGGGGAAUAUAGCACAAUGGAGGGAACUAUGAUGCAGCGACGACGCGUGAGUGAUGAAGGAAUUCGUUACGUAAAACUCUGUUCUAUGGGAAGAAAAGGACGGUACCAAAGGAGAAAGCUCCGGCUAAAUACGUG